AUGGGAUUUUGCCAAUUCAGAGCAUUAAUAGCUGUUUGGUUUUUUUUGCAGAAUGAGCUGAGAGGAGAGCGUGGGGAUAAAGGCGUGAAAGGGGAGAAGGGAGAGCCAGGAGGUGGUUAUUACGACCCCCGUUUUGGAGGACAACAAGGCCCACCAGGCCCCCCUGGAAACCCUGGUCUUAUGGGUCCAAAAGGAGAUUCCAUUAAGGGCCCCCCUGGUCCCCAGGGCCCACCAGGCGCCCCGGGGAUCGGCUAUGACGGUCGUCCUGGAAACCCAGGCCCACCCGGUCCUCCUGGGCCUCCAGGGUCCCCCUCACUACCAGGGGCCUACAGGCCUACACAUAGUGAGUUUCCUAAACAACAUGAAACACCAUUGCACAAAACGUCCAACAGUUCUUUUUUUACGGUGGUGGUGGAUGGGAUCGGGGUACACCACCAGCUUGAAUACAUAAUCCUGAUGCUAUUGCCUUCUUCAUGACAGCCAUUAGUAUUCCUGGACCUCCAGGACCUGCUGGACCUCCUGGAUCACCUGGUCAAUCCUCAGCGGUAAGUGGUCUUCCAACUUCCAGAAAAGGAAUACUUUGUGAAUCAUUCUCUUAAAUAUUUGCAAUGCCUAAGUGUGGUAAGUGUACCAUAACUCAGAGACUGCUGUAUUCUGUUAGGUGGAUUCAAUGGAGUGCUUGCAAGAGACCACACAGUCUUUUAAAUAAAAUGUGUGCUGGUCUACCUAGGUGACAGUUCUGAGGUCAUACGAAACCAUGGUUGCUACUGCAAAACGGCAGUCGGAGGGCACCCUAAUCUACAUUGUCGACAAAUCGGAUCUCUACAUCAGAGUUGGCAAUGGUUUACGACAAGUCCUGGUAAAGUCAGCAUUUAAAAAAAUAAUAAUAUUAAUAUUGAGGUGGAAGCUGAAAAUGCAUGUUCCAAAAGUGAGCAAAUGCAGAUAAAUGUAAUAUUAUAUAAUAUUAGUGAAAUUAACUUGCAUGUGUUCUUAUUAUUUUACAGCUUGGGGAAUAUAGACCGUUUUACAGAGAUCUGGUAAGUUCUAUCUGAAUGCAUAUUUGUAAAUGAAAGAAGACAUAUAAAACGUAAUACAUAUUUUGGUAACUAUUUUCUGAGUUUAGAUUGCCCAUACUUGAAUGCUCUACAAACUAUCAGUAACAUUU
rnacentral:lncRNA from 1 species